rnacentral:rRNA from 1 species
GACAGAGGGUGCAAACGUUGUUCGGAAUUACUGGGCGUAAAGCGCGUGUAGGCGGCUUGGAAAGUCGGGUGUGAAAGCCCUGGGCUCAACCUAGGAAGUGCACUCGAAACUGCCGAGCUUGAGUUCUGGAGAGGAAGGCGGAAUUCUCGGUGUAGAGGUGAAAUUCGUAGAUAUCGAGAGGAACACCGGUGGCGAAGGCGGCCCCCUGGACCGGUACUGACGCUGAGGCGCGAAAGCGUGGGUAGCAAACGGG